AUACUAACCUGGCAAUGGAGUGUUGCUGAUCACUACUGCCGCUCUCCCAGGCAAGGUGUUCCCAAUGCUUGAGGUUUGCUGAUGCCUGAGAUGUCCCCAAAUGCAAGAUACUCCACUGCAACAUUUAUAGCAGUGGGGACUAUGUUUGCGUAUUUUAAC